CGGAAAGGCCCUUCGGGGUACUCGAGCGGCGAACGGGUGAGUAACACGUGAGUAACCUGCCCCUGACUCUGGGAUAAGCCCGGGAAACUGGGUCUAAUACCGGAUACGACACCUCCUGGCAUCGGGUGGGUGUGGAAAGUUUUUCGGUUGGGGAUGGACUCGCGGCCUAUCAGCUUGUUGGUGGGGUAAUGGCCUACCAAGGCGACGACGGGUAGCCGGCCUGAGAGGGCGACCGGCCACACUGGGACUGAGACACGGCCCAGACUCCUACGGGAGGCAGCAGUGGGGAAUAUUGCGCAAUGGGCGAAAGCCUGACGCAGCGACGCCGCGUGGGGGAUGACGGCCUUCGGG
rnacentral:rRNA from 1 species